AGCAGUGUGGCUUAGUAGAAAGAGCAUGAACUUGGGAGUCAGGGGUCAUGGGUUCUAAUCCUACCUCUGCCA
rnacentral:tRNA from 1 species